GGUUCCUCUGGCCAUCAUAUUGAUGGCAGGUCAAGGUUGAUGACAAUUUGGUAGGAACACCAGGUUUCACUCAUCACAGAAGAUGGUUCUCAGGGAGAACUGGAGAGAGAUAUCCAGUUAGUUACCUACAACUUUGAAAAGUGUCUGGCUGACAUUCAGAGAUUGUAACUGUCCUGUUAGCUCCCCAUUUACUGUCUACAUGGUUUGGGCUAAUCAGCUGAAAAAGGACCCAUCUUCCUGAUCUCUGCCUCCCUGUUGUGCUGCUUCUUCAUCUCCCCUUUCACCAGGUUCCCUGUUUGGGAGAAGUUUGUAGAGGGGUUGAGUUCAGUCAGGUUAUGCUUUGUGCAGGGAAAAGGCUCAUCUUUGCUCCUGCCCACACCUGUGCUAAGUGAGUCAUUUCCUCUCUUCCCCAGGCUCUCAGGGAAGGUUCCUUGGUAAUAAAGUCUCUACCCUUACUAGGAAUGUAGUCAGUUCUCUCUCACUUUCUGGCAACCCUUAGGAUGUUUAACUACCAUAUUCUCUGGAUUUAAGCCCCUGGAACCAGCCCUCCAGUACCUCCAACCACAGCCACUGAAACAUUUAAUUGAGAGCAGUAGUGGCUCUUGGGACAUUCCUAGAUCGUGUUCUUUUUCUCAGUGCCCUGCCUUCUCAAUAUUAGCUGUAUCCAAGACAGAACUGUCUUUUCUCUUGGGGUGGAAAUUGUAUCUCCUAAAAACAUUCUCUGUGUCUGGCAGUCAUUUCUAUCACAAGAGAAAUGGUCUUUUCCUAGCUCUAUCAUCCAUUCCAACACUUAACAUGCCUCUGGUGGCAUGUCCAAGUUUGGAGAAUAAUUUUCACCUUGUAUUCUGGAUUCUGACAAUAUUCUUCCUCCAUCUCCAAGAAGUGGCUUAAUUUUUAACAAUUCAUUCAAAAAUGAGUGUCUUAUACCCAUCCCCCACUAAAAAGUGUUCUGGAAACAUUUGUUGAGUAGGGUUUCAUUUACCCUAAUUUCCUUCAUCUACUUCUGGACAAUCUUGUAUGUAAAAUUCAACUUUUUUUUUUUUUUGGCCACAUCCAUGGGAUGCAGAAGUUCCUAGGCCAGGGAUCAAACCUGCACCACAUGGAGUUCCCAUUGUGGCUCAGAGGUAAUGAACCCAACUAGGAUCCAUGAGGAUGCAGGUUCAAUUCCUGACCUCACUCAGUGGGUUAAGGAUCCAGCAUUGCCAUGAGCUGUGGUAUAGGUUGCAGACGUGGCUCAGAUCCCAUGUUGCUGUGGCUGUGGUAGGCCAGCAGCUGUAGCUUUGAUUCAGCACCUAGCCUGGGAAUCCAUAUGCCAUGGGUGUGCCCCUAAAAAGCAAAAAAACAAACAAACAAACAAAAAAAACACCACCACAGCAGUGGCCAGAGCUACAGCAGUGACAAUGCCAGGUCCUUAACCCACUGAGCCACCAGGGAUGCCACAGGAACUUCAGAGAGUGUACACCCAACUCUACACAAAAGUCAUAACCAGGUUGAUCCUAUUUGCAUUGGACAGAGUCCUUUCCUGGGAUGUGGUAAUUUCAGCACUAAAAAUCUCAAAAUGAUUUGGUUUCAGUGCUAGGAGUUGUUAUCUGCCCAUGGCUCUGAUAUGGACCACACUAGUAAUUUUGGUAAUUCCAGAAGGAAAAAAAAAAAGGCAUAUUAUAUAAGGGUUAUAAAUCCACAUACUCUGGUGUCAAAAAAUAAAGACACGUAAUGCAUUAGUCAGGGUCCUGGCAAGAAAAAGAUGGCAUGAUCAAAGGUAAUUAACUGAGGAGGAUUUAACAAAGAAGCUACUUAAAAUGCAUAGAUAUGUUGAAAAGAAAUCAAAUAGGAAUGGUACAGUACCCACUUUUCUCCCCCACCCCUACCGCAGGAUAACAAAAAGGAAGCUUCCAAAGAUCUUAAGUUUGAGAGGCAAGGAGAAGAAAUGGUUACCAGAACGCAACCCAGAGAGAUUAACUAUAAGAAAGGGCCACCAGAUAGGCUCUGCUGUCUCCAGUAAAGGGACCCAGUCAACCCAUAGGGAGGGAGCCUUGGAAAUAAAUACCCCAAUUCAUUCUCUCCCUUUCUUUGAUUUCCUGCUGGUGCCGCCCAAUGGCUGGACACAACUGGAAUGCAGAGGUCAAAGAAGUCUGCCGAAUCCACCCAGAAAGGUUAGCCCUCUGGAGCACAGAGCAGGGCAGAGAAAGGUGGGGAAUAGCUCUACAGACAAAAAUAUUCAGCCUAUAUUAUUUUCUUUAACUUAAAAACAAUCUUUUUUGGAGAACCUAUCCAAUCAAUGUGGGAAAAGGAAAUUCAAAUUCAAAGAAGUUCAAUCAUUCAUGGGUUUUGUCUCUCCUUCCCACCCAUGACCAUCCAACCCAAGACCUUUAUUACAGAGAGCAAAGUGUAUUCCCACUUGCUGCUGAGCUGGGCAUUGUCCAAACUUGCAAGCACAUCCAAGUCUAGUGGUCCUGAGGCUCUGCGCCAAAGCAUCCAUGGGAGCCUUUACCAGAGUCAAGAAUGCCAAGGAACAUGACAACAUGUUCGCACCAUGAAGACAUCCUCACAGGAUAAAGUCCCUACCAGGGGUGGGGGUCGGGGGCAGCUAGGGGGAACAGGUUGCAGUUACCCACAGCAACCUACCCUCUCUUCCUCAGGCGUGAGAAUCUUCUUGUCUUGGCUUCUGCUUUUGCCUAUCUUCUUACAAAGACACAAGCUCUUCUCUGGUUCCAUUCAAAACACUCUAGAACAUUGUCUUUAGUCAGUUUGGAUUUUCAUGAGAGAAAAAGAGCUCUUGGGUCAGCUUCUGUCUUCAGUCCUGGAGACUACUUAGCCGCCAAAAUCUUGGCUUUCUUUUUGGAAU
rnacentral:lncRNA from 1 species